rnacentral:rRNA from 2 species
CAAGGAGUCUUACUUUCGUGCGAGUCCGAGGGCCCGGAAGCCCGACGGCGCAGCGAAAGCGAAGAUCGCGAUCCCUCUUCCGGUGGAGAAGGGGGCGCAGCGACCGCCCUUCCGCGAAGGCGGAAGGAGCGAGAGCACGAAGGUAGGGACCCGAUAGGUGGUGAACUAUUCUCGGGCAGGACGAAGGCCGAGGAAACUCGGCUGGAGGUCCGAAGCGGUUCUGACGUGCAAAUCGAUCGUCCGACCCGAGUAUAGGGGCGAAAGACCAAUCGAACCACCUGGUAGCUGGUUCCCUCCGAAGUUUCCCUCAGGAUAGCCGUCGCUCGGAGGAUUCAGUCUCGUUCCCGUAGAGAGAAUGAUUAGAGCGAUUCGGGGACGCCCGUGUCACUCGACCUCUUCUCAAACUACGAAGGGACGAGGAGCGUGCCUCUCCCGAUCGGAGGCCGCGACGCGGAUG